CACUCUCACGUGAGAAAGCGUCCAGCAGGAGGGCGGCGGUGCCGGCAAAAUGGCUCGGUAGCUUUGCGCAGUGGCAGUAUCGUAGCCAAUGAGGUUUAUCCGAGGCGCGAUUAUUGCUAAUUGAAAACUUUUCCCAAUACCCCGCCUUGACGACUUGAAAUAUAGUCGGCAAUGGCAAUUUUUGACGGUCUCUACGGAGACUGAUUUCCUCGGUUUGAAAGAUUAGAGAAGAUCGGCGCUCGAGGCCUCGUCUGCGGGUGACGACGGAGGGCUCUUCUGCUUCUCUGUAUCCGUUGUUCUUCGUGUGUCCCUGUGUCGUUGUGCGUUAGGGCAACAGCUGUGAACGGCGUGACGGUUGCCGAGAGCCUAGGCUGCCAUUCCGGCUCUUACUCUCCUUUUAGCCCAGCUUCCUGUAAACCCAGAUUUCAGCCUCACAGCUCGUGGUGAUACUGAAAAGGAGAAAGAAGGGAAGCCGUUGAACCGAGAGCUACUGCAGCAACACAAGGACUCUUGAAACCAUGCUGCCCGGCUCUCCUACCAAGUCCCCGUGGCCUUCAAAGGGCAGGCAGAAUUUGCAGCUGUUGGGCAGAAACGAAACCGGCUGAUGAGGCCACAUCCGGAGUCUUGUGGCCUGUUGGCAGAAAGCUGGCCCUUUGCCAGGAGAUCCCUAGAGGGAUGGAGAGCCGAGACCCACCGAUGGAUGCCGUGGGUGGAUUGAAAGCGAGCAGUCAGGGUGCAGGAAGGAAGGAAGGAGAGAGAUCUAGAGGGCAGUCAAAAAAGUCAAGAUGGCGGCUUUGCCAGUUGAACCUGAAACACUCCAAGAAAGCCUCCUUUCCAGGGGCAGCAGCUGCUCCAGGCCUGAGUGGAAAGUCGUCUCCCUUCGUACCAAAUGCUCCCGGCUGGCUGUUUCCUCGCCUUCUGCUUCUUGAGAGCAAUUCCCUUUCAAGUGGGCUUCUCAGCCAAAGCUGCCCCUCCGCCUGAACCUCAGAGCAGCCCCUUCGGAUUACUUGGAUGCGGAGUCCGGAUCCAGCCCAGCUGCUGAUUUCUCCAGAAUGAUUCCCUCCACACGGCUGCCGCUUCCAACAGAGGUCAGCCUUGCUUGGGAGGUGAGCUCACUUACAGUUCCUUUCUGAAAUUAUUUUGAAAUUAUAACCAUUCUGGGCAGAAGGGGAGGCAUGAAUAAAUAACAUUCUUAUUUUA